AUUGAACGCUGGCGGCAGGCUUAACACAUGCAAGUCGAGCGGAGAUGAGGUGCUUGCGCCUUAUCUUAGCGGCGGACGGGUGAGUAAUGCUUAGGAAUCUGCCUAUUAGUGGGGGACAACAUUCCGAAAGGAAUGCUAAUACCGCAUACAUCCUACGGGAGAAAGCAGGGGAUCUUCGGACCUUGCGCUAAUAGAUGAGCCUAAGUCGGAUUAGCUAGUUGGUGGGGUAAAGGCCUACCAAGGCGACGAUCUGUAGCGGGUCUGAGAGGAUGAUCCGCCACACGGGGACUGGGGCACGGCCCAGACUCCUACGGGAGGCAGCAGGGGGGAAUAUUGGACAAUGGGGGGAACCCUGAUCCAGCCAUGCCGCGUGUGUGAAGAAGGCCUUAUGGUUGUAAAGCACUUUAAGCGAGGAGGAGGCUACUGAGACUAAUACUCUUGGAUAGUGGACGUUACUCGCAGAAUAAGCACCGGCUAACUCUGUGCCAGCCGCCGCAGUAAAAC
rnacentral:rRNA from 1 species